GAUGAACGCUGGCGGCGUGCCUAAUACAUGCAAGUCGAGCGAAAAGACGAGGAUCUUGCUCCUCUGUCGUUAGCGGCGGACGGGUGAGUAACACGUGGAUAACCUACCUAUAAGACUGGGAUCACUUCGGGACACCGGCGCUAAUACCGGAUAAUCUACUGAACCGCAUGGUUCAAUGGUGAAAGACGGUGUUGCUGUCACUUAUCGAUGGUUCCGCGCCGCAUUAGAUGGUUGGUAAGGUAACGGCCUACCAAGGCAACGAUGCGUAGGCGACCUGAGUGAGUGAUAGGCCACACUAGAACUGAGACACCGUCCAGACUCCUACGAGACGGAGCAGAAGGGAAUCUGCGGCAAUGGGCGAGAGCCUGGCGGAGCAACGCGGCGUGAGUGAUGAAGGUCUUGGGAGCGUAAUACCCGGUUUUGAGGGAAGAACAGAUGUGUAAGUAACUAUGCACGGAUUGACGGUACUGAAUCAGAAAGCAACGGCUAACUACGUG
rnacentral:rRNA from 1 species